GGAAAUUACUGGGCGUAAAGCGCACGCAGGCGGUCUGUCAAAGUCGGAUGUGAAAUCCCCGGGCUCAACCUGGGAACUGCAUUCGAAACUGGCAGGCUAGAGUCUUGUAGAGGGGGGUAGAAUUCCAGGUGUAGCGGUGAAAUGCGUAGAGAUCUGGAGGAAUACCGGUGGCGAAGGCGGCCCCCUGGACAAAGACUGACGCUCAGGUGCGAAAGCGUGGGGAGCAAACAGGAUUAGAUACCCUGGUAGUCCACGCCGUAAACGAUGUCGAUUUGGAGGUUGUGCCCUUGAGGCGUGGCUUCCGGAGCUAACGCGUUAAAUCGACCGCCUGGGGAGUACGGCCGCAAGGUUAAAACUCAAAUGAAUUGACGGGGGCCCGCACAAGCGGUGGAGCAUGUGGUUUAAUUCGAUGCAACGCGAAGAACCUUACCUGGUCUUGACAUCCACAGAACUUACCAGAGAUGGAUUGGUGCCUUCGGGAACUGUGAGACAGGUGCUGCAUGGCUGUCGUCAGCUCGUGUUGUGAAAUGUUGGGUUAAGUCCCGCAACGAGCGCAACCCUUAUCCUUUGUUGCCAGCGGUCCGGCCGGGAACUCAAAGGAGACUGCCAGUGAUAAACUGGAGGAAGGUGGGGAUGACGUCAAGUCAUCAUGGCCCUUACGACCAGGGCUACACACGUGCUACAAUGGCAUAUACAAAGAGAAGCGACCUCGCGAGAGCAAGCGGACCUCAUAAAGUAUGUCGUAGUCCGGAUUGGAGUCUGCAACUCGACUCCAUGAAGUCGGAAUCGCUAGUAAUCGUAGAUCAGAAUGCUACGGUGAAUACGUUCCCGGGCCUUGUACACACCGCCCGUCACACCAUGGGAGUGGGUUGCAAAAGAAGUAGGUAGCUUAACCUCGGGAG
rnacentral:rRNA from 1 species